rnacentral:rRNA from 1 species
UACAGAGGGUGCGAGCGUUGUCCGGAAUCACUGGGCGUAAAGGGCGCGUAGGCGGUCUCUUAAGCGUGUGGUGAAAGCCCGGGGCUCAACUCCGGGUCGGCCGUGCGAACUGGGGGGCUGGAGCACUGUAGAGGCAGGCGGAAUUCCGGGUGUAGCGGUGGAAUGCGUAGAGAUCCGGAAGAACACCGGUGGCGAAGGCGGCCUGCUGGGCAGUUGCUGACACUGAGGCGCGACAGCGUGGGGAGCAAACAGG